rnacentral:rRNA from 1 species
AUGAGACUCCAAAUCUGUUCUCUCGCCGUCCUCCUGCUCCCUCUCCUUCUCGCCUCAGCCACCGAUUUCGAUUUCUUCUACCAUGUCCAGCAGUGGCCCGGCUCGUUCUGCGACACGACGGGCGGCUGCUGCUUCCCGGGCAACGUGAAGCCGGCGGCGGACUUUGGCAUCCACGGCCUGUGGCCCAACUACGCCGCGUGCCGCCCCGCCGGCGAUACCAACAGGACCAGGUGCUGGCCGGACUUCUGCAACGCCGGCGACACCUUCAACCCGUCGCUGGUGCGUAUAAAUAACCGCAUGCCACUCUUCAUCUCCAGAAGUUCCCUCUGUAAUCUGUCGGCGAAUGCGUUGCAGAUCAGCGACCUGAGGAGCGACAUGGACCGGAACUGGGGGACGCUGUCGUGCAGGAGCAACGACAGCACGGCCUUCUGGAGCCACGAGUGGAGCAGGCACGGCACCUGCUCCAACAUGGACCAGCACGCCUACUUCCUCGCGGCGCUCCGGUACAAGGCCCGCUUCAACCUCACCCGCAUCCUCCUCGACGCCGGGAUCGCGCCGUCGGAGGAGAGGACGUACUGCGUGGGCAGCAUCCGGGACGCCAUCGGGGAGGCGACGGGGUCGGCGCCUGGCAUCGAGUGCAACCGGAACGCGCGCAACGAGACGCAGCUGUACCAGGUGUACCAGUGCGUCGACCUCGCCGGCACCGGCCCCGUCCCCUGCCCGGCGGUGCCGAUGCAGAGCCGCUGCACCGACCAGGUCAAGUUCCCCGCGUUCUAG